AUUAAUACCUCAUAGUAUUUCGGAUCGCAUGAUUUGAUUAUUAAAGUUCCAACGGUAAAAGAUGAGUAUGCGUCCCAUUAGCUAGAUGGUAAGGUAACGGCUUACCAUGGCAAUGAUGGGUAGGGGUCCUGAGAGGGAGAUCCCCCACACUGGUACUGAGACACGGACCAGACUCCUACGGGAGGCAGCAGUGAGGAAUAUUGGUCAAUGGGCGCAAGCCUGAACCAGCCAUGCCGCGUGCAGGAAGACGGUCCUAUGGAUUGUAAACUGCUUUUAUACAGGAAGAAACCCUCCCACGUGUGGGAGCUUGACGGUACUGUAGGAAUAAGGAUCGGCUAACUCCGUG
rnacentral:rRNA from 1 species